AUUGAACGCUGGCGGCAGGCCUAACACAUGCAAGUCGAGCGGAUGAAGGGAGCUUGCUCCUGGAUUCAGCGGCGGACGGGUGAGUAAUGCCUAGGAAUCUGCCUGGUAGUGGGGGAUAACGUCCGGAAACGGGCGCUAAUACCGCAUACGUCCUGAGUGAGAAAGUGGGGGAUCUUCGGACUUCACGCUAUCAGAUGAGCCUAGGUCGGAUUAGCUAGUUGGUGGGGUAAAGGCCUACCAAGGCGACGAUCCGUAACUGGUCUGAGAGGAUGAUCAGUCACACUGGAACUGAGACACGGUCCAGACUCCUACGGGAGGCAGCAGUGGGGAAUAUUGGACAAUGGGCGAAAGCCUGAUCCAGCCAUGCCGCGUGUGUGAAGAAGGUCUUCGGAUUGUAAAGCACUUUAAGUUGGGAGGAAGGGCAGUAAGUUAAUACCUUGCUGUUUUGACGUUACCAACAGAAUAAGAACCGGCUAACUUCGUG
rnacentral:rRNA from 1 species